rnacentral:rRNA from 1 species
CACUAUCGUUAACUGAAUACAUAGGUUAACGAGGCGAACCGGGGGAACUGAAACAUCUAAGUACCCCGAGGAAAAGAAAUCAACCGAGAUUCCCCCAGUAGCGGCGAGCGAACGGGGAGCAGCCCAGAGUCUGAAUCAGCUUGUGUGUUAGUGGAACGGUCUGGAAAGUCCGACGGUACAGGGUGAUAGUCCCGUACACCAAAAUGCACAGGUUGUGAACUCGAAGAGUAGGGCGGGACACGUGGUAUCCUGUCUGAAUAUGGGGGGACCAUCCUCCAAGGCUAAAUACUCCUGACUGACCGAUAGUGAACCAGUACCGUGAGGGAAAGGCGAAAAGAACCCCGGCGAGGGGAGUGAAAAAGAACCUGAAACCGUGUACGUACAAGCAGUGGGAGCACCUUCGGGUGUGACUGCGUACCUUUUGUAUAAUGGGUCAGCGACUUAUAUUCUGUAGCAAGGUUAACCGUAUAGGGGAGCCGCAGGGAAACCGAGUCUUAACUGGGCGUUAAGUUGCAGGGUAUAGACCCGAAACCCGGUGAUCUAGCCAUGGGCAGGUUGAAGGUUGGGUAACACUAACUGGAGGACCGAACCGACUAAUGUUGAAAAAUUAGCGGAUGACUUGUGGCUGGGGGUGAAAGGCCAAUCAAACCGGGAGAUAGCUGGUUCUCCCCGAAAGCUAUUUAGGUAGCGCCUCGUGAAUUCAUCUUCGGGGGUAGAGCACUGUUUCGGCUAGGGGGUCAUCCCGACUUACCAACCCGAUGCAAACUACGAAUACCGAAGAAUGUUAUCACGGGAGACACACGGCGGGUGCUAACGUCCGUCGUGAAGAGGGAAACAACCCAGACCGCCAGCUAAGGUCCCAAAGUCAUGGUUAAGUGGGAAACGAUGUGGGAAGGCACAGACAGCCAGGAUGUUGGCUUAGAAGCAGCCAUCAUUUAAAGAAAGCGUAAUAGCUCACUGGUCGAGUCGGCCUGCGCGGAAGAUGUAACGGGGCUAAACCAUGCACCGAAGCUGCGGCAGCGACACUAUGUGUUGUUGGGUAGGGGAGCGUUCUGUAAGCCUGCGAAGGUGUGCUGUGAGGCAUGCUGGAGGUAUCAGAAGUGCGAAUGCUGACAUAAGUAACGAUAAAGCGGGUGAAAAGCCCGCUCGCCGGAAGACCAAGGGUUCCUGUCCAACGUUAAUCGGGGCAGGGUGAGUCGACCCCUAAGGCGAGGCCGAAAGGCGUAGUCGAUGGGAAACAGGUUAAUAUUCCUGUACUUGGUGUUACUGCGAAGGGGGGACGGAGAAGGCUAUGUUAGCCGGGCGACGGUUGUCCCGGUUUAAGCAUGUAGGCUGGUUGUCCAGGCAAAUCCGGAUAAUCAAGGCUGAGGUGUGAUGACGAGGCACUACGGUGCUGAAGUAACAAAUGCCCUGCUUCCAGGAAAAGCCUCUAAGCAUCAGGUAACAUCAAAUCGUACCCCAAACCGACACAGGUGGUCAGGUAGAGAAUACCAAGGCGCUUGAGAGAACUCGGGUGAAGGAACUAGGCAAAAUGGUGCCGUAACUUCGGGAGAAGGCACGCUGGUGUGUAGGUGAAGUCCCUGCGGAUGGAGCUGAGACCAGUCGAAGAUACCAGCUGGCUGCAACUGUUUAUUAAAAACACAGCACUGUGCAAACACGAAAGUGGACGUAUACGGUGUGACGCCUGCCCGGUGCCGGAAGGUUAAUUGAUGGGGUUAUCCGUAAGGAGAAGCUCUUGAUCGAAGCCCCGGUAAACGGCGGCCGUAACUAUAACGGUCCUAAGGUAGCGAAAUUCCUUGUCGGGUAAGUUCCGACCUGCACGAAUGGCGUAAUGAUGGCCAGGCUGUCUCCACCCGAGACUCAGUGAAAUUGAACUCGCUGUGAAGAUGCAGUGUACCCGCGGCAAGACGGAAAGACCCCGUGAACCUUUACUAUAGCUUGACACUGAACAUUGAGCCUUGAUGUGUAGGAUAGGUGGGAGGCUUUGAAGCGUGGACGCCAGUCUGCGUGGAGCCAACCUUGAAAUACCACCCUUUAAUGUUUGAUGUUCUAACGUUGGCCCCUGACCGGGGUUGCGGACAGUGUCUGGUGGGUAGUUUGACUGGGGCGGUCUCCUCCCAAAGCGUAACGGAGGAGCACGAAGGUUAGCUAAUCCUGGUCGGACAUCAGGAGGUUAGUGCAAUGGCAUAAGCUAGCUUGACUGCGAGCGUGACGGCGCGAGCAGGUGCGAAAGCAGGUCAUAGUGAUCCGGUGGUUCUGAAUGGAAGGGCCAUCGCUCAACGGAUAAAAGGUACUCCGGGGAUAACAGGCUGAUACCGCCCAAGAGUUCAUAUCGACGGCGGUGUUUGGCACCUCGAUGUCGGCUCAUCACAUCCUGGGGCUGAAGUAGGUCCCAAGGGUAUGGCUGUUCGCCAUUUAAAGUGGUACGCGAGCUGGGUUUAGAACGUCGUGAGACAGUUCGGUCCCUAUCUGCCGUGGGCGCUGGAGAAUUGAGGGGGGCUGCUCCUAGUACGAGAGGACCGGAGUGGACGCAUCACUGGUGUUCGGGUUGUCAUGCCAAUGGCACUGCCCGGUAGCUAAAUGCGGAAGAGAUAAGUGCUGAAAGCAUCUAAGCACGAAACUUGCCCCGAGAUGAGUUCUCCCUGAGACUUUAAGUCUCCUGAAGGAACGUUAAAGACGAUGACGUUGAUAGGCCGGGUGUGUAAGCGCAGCGAUGCGUUGAGCUAACCGGUACUAAUGAACCGUGAGGCUUAACCUU